CUGUGCAGCCGGAGGACGCGGCAGGGGCCCGCAGGGCGCUGGGACUCCUCUGUUCCGACGCUCCCGCCGCCGCUGCGGGUCUGGCCUCAGGGGUCCCUCUGCCCUGCGCUCUGUCUGCGACCCUCCCCACCUUCACGACUUUCGGAGCCGGGAGCAUACGAAAGGCGGUGCGGUCAGGACACGCGCUGCCGGUGACAGCACAGAAACUACCAGAAACGAAGGCACGCAUCCGCCAGGGACCGGGCUGGAUGGGCUGCAUCCCGCCAGCACGUCAGACGAGGGGCUCAGCCCAGGGCGGAGGCCCACGGGGGCCCCGCGAGACGCUGCUCACACGGUAACCGUCCCGAAGGCCCAGACCUAACAUUUCCAGAGGCAGCGACGCGAACGGGGACACCCCGCGGCCCCAAAAGAGCGGCCUCGCUUCCCGUUCUCCGAACCCCGGAGGGUGAGUGGCGUUGGCACGCAGAUGGGAGCAGGCUCUACUUCCCCGACGCAGUGGACCCGGGUCUCCCCUCAGGGUGUUCCGGGUGCGUCCCCGGAGCCGGGGAGGCCCGGGUGCCCCGCGCGGCCUGCCGGCGGAGCCCACGAGAGGCCGCUCCUCCCGCAAGCCGGCUGCCCCUGACCGAGGACACCGAGCGGGUAGGCCCGGGGGGGAGAAGGCGGGCGCCUUCGCGGGCGCGAACCCGGACACUGGAGCCUCCCCAGGACGGCGGCUCCGGAGGAGGGCGCGAUCCUGCCUGGGAGGCCGCCCGAACGUCCCCCGGUUCCAGCACCAGGACGGCGGAUCCGACGCCGUGCGCCCUCCAGCCCCGGCCUGGGGGGCGGCCCCGAAGGCGGCGAGGGUCGGGGACUCCGGCUCCGGCACACACGGCCCCGGAAGGAGAGCUGCCCUCCCACUGGGAUCCGGUAGGGGAAAGUCCCGGAAGUCAACGUGGCACCGUCCGUUGUACGGGAACUAGAGCCCGCGGGCUCGGCAAAAACGACCUGUGUGCCGCACGGCGCCACGCCUGAUGCUCAGGGGUCACACACACACACCUCCAGAAGCGAGGCCCGGCGGCGCCGGAAGCGAGGCCCAACAUCACCAGAAGAGACGCCAGGCGCCACCGGAAGCGAGGCCGCGGCCACAGGAAGCGAGGCCCAGAAUCCCCAGAAGCGAGGCCCGCGAUCCCCGGAAGGGAGGCCCGGCGCCACCGCCCUCCAUGAGCGCAAGAAACAAGGUAAAGGAAGCAGCUCAUGCUGGUGACCUUCUCCUGAAGCAGGGGCUACGGCUGACACGUGAUCCCUGGGCAGGGGCCGGGGGCUUCCCACCGGGACCCUCAACCAACGCUCCCGUCCGAGUGAAAAGAAACUUCUGAAAACAGGACUUCUAAAGACUUCUGUACAAGAAGGGAACUUGCCUGUGGUCCGGACUCUUUGGGGUCACUUAGCUGUAUUUAACCUGAAUUAAAGCCUGGGCUUUCCUGCCUGGGACACAUGAGUCUCUUGGGAGUUUGAGUAGCUUGAACCGUACGAGUACAAAUGCCUGCCUUUAGAUGAGUCAUCUCUGGAGAGAGUGGCAACCCCGAGCUGCUGGAAAGGGUCCCGGACUGUGGUCGCCCUGCAGGGCACUCCCAGACCCCGGGCUCCGUCCACACCAUCACAUUCACAGUCCCGCUUCAAAGCCCCGGGACGAGCGCCCUGCACUACGGGCCCACCUGGUCAACGAUGUCCCGGAAAGCAGGCGACGGCGGACCCAGCCAGCUGCGCACCGUGGCGGGCAUCGUGAAUACUGGCCUCUCCCGGAGGCUGAUUAUGAGCACAUUACCCCUGAUGUCCAUCCCUGCACCUGUAAAAUGGGGCAACAGAACCGACCCGACAGUGUUGUUGGAAGAAUGAAAGGAGACAAGAAGCGUGAAUCACUUGGUUCCAUGCACCUGCCGCUGAAUUCUUUCAUCUUCACUGUAAACUCAGGAGGAUUUUGAAGCUACCGCUCACGGACACAUCUUCAGGACGAGUCAGGAGGGGCAAGCACGUGCGGGGUAACCACCGUGAGGGGCACAUCCUCGGGGAUGCAGGGAAAAGGACCGUGGCCUCUCACACAGACGAGAAACACACGACAAGCAUCAGUUCGCUCCGGGGCGUUUUUUCCCAAAUGGUAGACCGUCGAGAUUCAGGGUGAAGUAUGGGGAGUGAGAAGGAGAGACGAGCGGUGCAUUCAAUGAAUGGGACAAAGGAAGAGGAACAGGGCUCCUCCUAGAAGCCAGGCCCACAAUCACCGGAAGCGAGGCCCCGCACCACCGGAAGGAGCAAAAACGCUCCAGGUGCCAAGUGCCAGUGGGGGCUCAGCGGGCGCCCCGACCUCGCGGUGAGCCGCAGACUCGGGACCAAACCACAGAGAGAAGCCGCGGUGCCUCCGUGUUCCGUUGUCCCCACUCACUCUGCAUCCAGCAGCCAAUGUAGCCAACACCACCAGUGUCCCGUGCAGCCUCACACGAGCCCCAGGCUCCCCACCGCUUAGCUCAAGAGAGACCGUAUCCACAUUUGCACACACCAGGGAGGGAAGAGACAGCAGGGCCGCAGUGACGGUCAGAUGGCAGACCUCUCUGGCUCUGCCGCCCAAUCUCCACUAUGCUUGGUUCCAGAAACCCCUCGUGAGAGCCUUGGGUGCCUAUGCUGUGCCCAGAUGGGCCAUUCUCAGCCAGGGCAGUGCCAUCAGGCCCCUCGGUGCUGGCUGGUAGGCAGGGCGGCUUGGACAGGAGACCACAGGACAAAAUUCAGGUUCUUGGACAAAACUUGGGUGUCCGGAGUCCUGAUUCUCUCACGCAAGCUGACACCCAGCAGAUGGACCCGCCCCCCAGCCUGAUCUCCAUCUAAAUCCUCAGACAAGCCCCUCAGAUGUCCAGAUGGCCUCCAGCCAAAUUUAGCUAUGCCACUUGACAUCAGCAACACCAAAUGUCCCCGGCUGAGCCUGCCUCUAAAGGACCAGAUGUUGUCGACGCCACUGACGGUGUGGGUGUCAGUGCGUCUGGCCCCCUCCCACGGCCAGAGUCUACGACCGGUGUCCCAGAACUCCGAAUGGAAGUGUUUCUCAACCAAGCAGGUUGCAAGGCGUCACCCCGAUGGGCCUCUUGAAGGUGUCUUUGCAGGAAAAAUGCUCCCCACGGUCAGGAAAGGUCCUGAGACCAUCUCGACCCAAUGACAUUCAGUUAACUAGAAGUAAUGUGCUGUGGCCAGGAAUUGACUGUCCCCUAAAAGAAUGCAAAGAGGGUUGCCAGUGACAGGCCACCCCGCAAAGCUAACCAGACCUACAGCCUUUAUUUUAAAAGGGAAGUGAGGACACCUGGCACCAGAAGCCCCUCAUUUCCAAGACCGCUCCGGGAAAAUAAUCUGUGGAUAGUGUUGGGGUCGUUGGGGGCGGGGGGCUCCGGGCCCCAACUCAAACCUCGGCAGAAGUGGCUACAGCAACAAAUCAGCGGCCAGCGGCAUGUGGAUGGUCAGAGACGAUUACGCCCCACAAUCGGUCCGCAUUCUGCUCAGCCAGGCUUAAGGGACUUUUGAGGAAGGCUCUUAUUUGAGUGGUGGUCUCAAGCCUCGUCACCACCGAGCACCCCCAACGUGAGUGGAAGCCUCUCCAUCGUCCCCAGGUUCCUCCUCGCUCACAGAUGGGGGCGGGAGGCUGUGCAAUUCCAACCCACUGCUCCCCUUCCACAGCAACCAAAAACGUCACUUCUUUUUAUCGGCAAGGUCAUAGAGGGCGCAGCACCAGAUGAUACCGGGUCUGGGCAGAACGUAGGUCUUGUCCCCGGCCCCCCAGAGCCCUCUCUGGAAGUAACCACCACUGCCAGCUUCUGGAGAACACUACCAACAAAAUGUGUAAACGGGAUUUACUACUGGAACCAUUAGCCUCCCGUGCCAUGUGUUUGGGGGUGGGGGGAGGGUCGUUUGUUUUCUUGGAGAUCUUUCCACACGAAUGUAUGCAGAAUGGCUUCAUAUUUUUAACACAUCCAGAGAGCAUUCCAGAAAAUACAUAUACCGUGAAUUAUUUACUUGGUCCCUUCUUUGUGGAUUUUUUAGAUUGUCUGAAUCCUUUGCUAUUAAAAACAGUGUGAUGAAUAUCCACAUACACUAUUUCACACAUGUUUAAAUGCACGUAUGUGAUAAUUCCUGUCUGUGGACAAGCUAGGUCAAAGAUUAGGCAGACUUGUAAUUUUAUUAGACAUUACCAAAUCGCUGCCACGGACACCAGUUACCCUAUGACUAGCAACACACGAGGCCUCCUGUUUCCCUGUAUUCUUGGCAAACCAUUGUGUUACCAAAGUUUUGGUCUUUGUGUAUGUGACAGGUGGGGAAAAUUCAGGAUGACUUUCAUCAUUUCUCCGGUUACCAGUGAGGGUGGGUAUCUUCUAAAAUGCCUAAGAUCCAUUUGUAUUUCCUUAUCUAUAAACUAUUCAUGUGCAUUUUUCUUUGGGGCUGUUAAAUACUUUCUAGUUUAUUUGUAGGUGAUCUUCACAUUCUAAGAAAAUUAGCCUUGUGUCUACGAUACAAAUUAUACAUAUUUUCCCUGACUUGUCCUUUGUCUUUUGAUUUUGUUGUGUCAUAUUUGUCAUUAAAAACCGUUUGAUUUCAAUGUAGUUGAAUUACUUAAUCUAUGUUUUAUGCCUUGUGGGUUUGGUUUUAUACCUAGAAAGACCUUCCCCAUCCCAAGAUUCAGGGGGAGAAACACUAAUUUUAGGUCGAACAUUUUUAUAUAGUUUUGUGUUAAUUUUUGAUGCAAGUGGUAUUUAUUUUUAAUGAAGGUAUGAGAUAAGGGUUCUAUUUUAAAAAAGAGUAUUACCCAGUGUUCCAGUGUCCUGUUUCGGGCAGUCCAUCUUUGUCAAUUAAUAAAUUGCAAUGUACAUGUGA